GACGAACGCUGGCGGCGUGCUUAACACAUGCAAGUCGAACGGAAAGGCCCCCUUGUGGGGUACUCGAGUGGCGAACGGGUGAGUAACACGUGAGUAACCUACCCUUGACUUUGGGAUAACUUCAGGAAACUGGGGCUAAUACCGGAUAGGAGCUCCUGCUGCAUGGUGGGGGUUGGAAAGUUUCGGCGGUUGGGGAUGGACUCGCGGCUUAUCAGCUUGUUGGUGGGGUAGUGGCUCACCAAGGCUUUGACGGGUAGCCGGCCUGAGAGGGUGACCGGCCACAUUGGGACUGAGAGACGGCCCAGACUCCCACGGGAGGCAGCAGUGGGGAAUAUUGCACAAUGGGCGGAAGCCUGAUGCAGCAACGCCGCGUGCGGGAUGACGGCCUUCGGGUUGUAAACCGCUUUCGCCUGUGACGAAGCGUGAGUGACGGUAAUGGGUAAAGAAGCACCGGCUAACUACGU
rnacentral:rRNA from 1 species